AACGAACGCUGGCGGCAUGCCUAACACAUGCAAGUCGAACGCCCUCUUCGGAGGGAGUGGCGCACGGGUGCGUAACGCGUGGGAACCUGCCCUUAGGUUCGGAAUAACUCAGAGAAAUUUGAGCUAAUACCGGAUAAUGUCUUCGGACCAAAGAUUUAUCGCCUUUGGAUGGGCCCGCGUUGGACUAGCUAGUUGGUAGGGUAAAGGCCUACCAAGGCGACGAUCCAUAGCUGGUCUUAGAGGAUGAUCAGCCACACUGGGACUGAGACACGGCCCAGACUCCUACGGGAGGCAGCAGUGGGGAAUAUUGGACAAUGGGCGAAAGCCUGAUCCAGCAAUGCCGCGUGAGUGAUGAAGGCCUUAGGGUUGUAAAGCCCUUUUACCAGGGAUGAUAAUGACAGUACCUGGAGAAUAAGCUCCGGCUAACUCCGUGCCAGCCGCCGCGGUAAUAC
rnacentral:rRNA from 1 species